AAGCAUAUCAAUAAGCGGAGGAAAAGAAACCAACAGGGAUUGCCCCAGUAACGGCGAGUGAAGCGGCAACAGCUCAAAUUUGAAAUCUGGUCCCCUAGGGGCCCGAGUUGUAAUUUGUAGAGGAUGCUUUUGGUGAGGUGCCGCCCGAGUUCCCUGGAACGGGACGCCACAGAGGGUGAGAGCCCCGUCUGGCUGGCCACCGAGCCUCUGUAAAGCUCCUUCGACGAGUCGAGUAGUUUGGGAAUGCUGCUCAAAAUGGGAGGUAUAUGUCUUCUAAAGCUAAAUAUUGGCCAGAGACCGAUAGCGCACAAGUAGAGUGAUCGAAAGAUGAAAAGCACUUUGAAAAGAGAGUUAAAUAGCACGUGAAAUUGUUGAAAGGGAAGCGCUUGUGACCAGACUUGGGCGCGGCGGAUCAUCCGGGGUUCUCUCCGGUGCACUUCGCCGCGUUCAGGCCAGCAUCAGUUCGCCGCGGGGGAUAAAGGUUUCGGGAACGUGGCUCCUCCGGGAGUGUUAUAGCCCGUUGCGUAAUACCCUGAGGCGGACUGAGGACCGCGCAUCUGCAAGGAUGCUGGCGUAAUGGUCACCAGCGACCCGUCUUGAAACACGGACCAAGGAGUCGUCUUCGUAUGCGAGUGUUCGGGUGUCAAACCCCUACGCGUAAUGAAAGUGAACGCAGGUGAGAGCUUCGGCGCAUCAUCGACCGAUCCUGAUGUUCUCGGAUGGAUUUGAGUAAGAGCAUACGGGGCCGGACCCGAAAGAAGGUGAACUAUGCCUGUAUAGGGUGAAGCCAGAGGAAACUCUGGUGGAGGCUCGCAGCGGUUCUGACGUGCAAAUCGAUCGUCAAAUAUGGGCAUGGGGGCGAAAGACUAAUCGAACCUUCUAGUAGCUGGUUUCCGCCGAGU
rnacentral:rRNA from 1 species